GACGAACGCUGGCGGCGUGCCUAAUACAUGCAAGUCGAACGCAGUGGGGACGGGUGAGUAACCCGUGGGUAACCUCCCAUCAGAGGGGAUAACACUUGGAAACAGGUGCUAAACCGAUACUGAUGGAUGGACCCGCGGUGCAUUGGCUCGUUGGUGGGGUAACGGCUCACCAAGGCCACGAUUCAUAGCUGGCCUGUGAGGUUGAUCGGCCACACUGGAACUGAGACACGGUCCAGACUCCUACGGGAGGCAGCAGUAGGGAAUCUUGGGCAAUGGACGAAAGUCUGACCGAGCAACGCCGCGUGAGUGAAGAAGGUCUUCGGAUCGUAAAGCUCUGUUGUUAGGGAGGCGGUAUCUAACCAGAAAGCCACGGCUAACUACGUGCCAGCAGCCGCGGUAAUUC
rnacentral:rRNA from 1 species